rfam:Picea glauca, whole genome shotgun sequence.
ACAUGUCUACAACUUGGUGUUAUUUCAUUGGAUCCCAUUAGAAAUCUACAGUUAAGUGCGCUCGAGCUAGAGUAGUACUAGAAUGGGUGAGUGCCUAGGAAGCCCUAGUGUUUUACAUGCC